UGUAAAGAAGAGAGAGAAAGAAAAUGAAGCGGCGCAUGAGUUAGAACGAAAGUCAUUCAAUGCGUGAAAUUACAAAAAUACCCUUAAUGAGGCGGGUACAAUGUGAGCUGUUAGAUUGAGCGCGGAGCGCGAUCAACGAUUCAGAUAAGUAGAUAUAGAACCAGGUUAUAAUGAGAACUAACUAAAUAAUAGGAACUGAGAACGAAUUAGGGUCGUUAGAUCUACCACAUAUGCACACUUGAUGAGCGGCUCAAAUUAAAUCAAACCUUAGAUUGAAUCUACUCCAAGCGUUUUCUCUCUCCUCCAAGCAUUUUCUUUCUCCUCCGUGCCUCUGAAUUCUCCAUUGAAGCAGCUUUCGAAUCUACUCCAUUGAAGCGGCUUUCAAGCUUUCUCGACUCCAAUGAAACAAGUUCUGAGGAAGAAGAAGGCCAUGGUUGCACAAGGAGGGAGUUGCGGUUUGAUAGUGACAAUGUCUAUUUGAGGAAAGGCAUAUGUGGAUCCCAGCCUAUUUGAAACAUUUGUUCUGGGCUGUGAUGAAAACAACACAACGUUCGGAAAACUUCAAUCAUUUUUUCAAAGGUUAUGUUGACAAGAACACAACCUUGUCUGAGUUUGUGCUUCGCUACUGUGAUGCUAUGACCAUAAGGGCUGAGGCCGAAAGAGUUGCUGACUCCAACACGAUCCUCUAUGUGAGGCAUUUAAAGACGGAUUUCCCUACGGAGGAAGUGUUUCAGAAGUGAUAUACAGACGCGAAAUUCAAAGAAGUUCAGCGGGAGUGCACCAAGGUGUUGUAUGUGCGUUGUCUAGAUCAAAUUGAAAUUGGAGACAGUGUGAUUAAGCCAAAAUAUGCAAAGAAAGAGUCUGUGACAAAGGUUCGGAGAUGUUAUAGGCUUUUGUUUGAUAGAUCCACAUAUGAAGCAACUUGUGACUGUAAACACUUUGAGUGUCAUGGAAUCAUUUGUCGACAUAUGAUUAUGGCCUACGACCUUAGUGGUGUUGGAAUUGUUCCUGAGAAAUACAUUCUUCGUCGUUGGAGAGAGGAUGUGCAACGGAAACACACGUGUAAAAGUAGCUUAUCAUGAUCCACUUAAAACUGAAGAGAUGAGGCAAUAUCACAAACUUAUGGGGACUUAUGAACCAAUUUGCACGAAGGCAUCUGCAUGUAUUGAGGCCGUGUCAGAGAUGCUGCAACUCAUGGACCUGAGAGUCGAUGAAGUGUUGGCAAUGGUUGCCGAAAAGCAGGAAGAGGCAGCUAAGGCCAAUGCAGAUGAUGUUCCAGAUGAAGGUGGUCAAUGUGUUGUUGGGACUCCUUCUUCUGUGGAGCAGAACAAGGUACCUGAACCCGCAACCACGCCACUGACAAUUGGUUCCGGUCUGCCAAACUCCAGUAAGUGGUUUCCAAGGCAUUUGUGAAGCAUCUGCCUCGGGGAGGAUUAAAGAUCCACCAUUACCGAAGAAGGAAACCGUACUACAAAUUCAAGGUACCCAUCAUGCAUAGAAAAAAAAGGCAAAGAAAAAGCUGCUAGGGCUAAAAAAUGCUGCCAAAAAGCAAGCUACCCAAACCCAAACCAGUGUAUCGUUGUCAACAAAUGAAUACAUGCAGUCGGUUGGAGGUAUACAAAUGAGGCAUUUGGAUGGUUUUGUCGGUUACUUUACUGCUGUUAGGGGUAGAAACUCUGGUGGGGGGUGUUAGCUAGUCUACUUGGUUUGACUCCUGGUAUAGGGAGGUCCAAUUCGAAUUAGAGGGUAUGUAAGCUGUAUCCAUUACCCCAGUGGUACAUAUAGAACACUCAUUAAUGUACCAUUUGUUGUGAUAAAGCAGCACUGCUUGCUAGUGACAAUAACAAUGCACUAAAUUAUUUGACAUUUGUAGAAAGGAAUGUACUGUUUUCUAUUAACUUGAA